UCAUCAACCGACCAGGCAAUCCACUAAGUAGAAAAAGAUUCUUACAAAGGAACACAAGCAAGCUCAAGCAAAACCUAGAUCUAUUUAGGAAGAUGAGCAAUACCUCCUUUGUGCAAUCUUCUUCUCCAACUUAGCAAAGCUUGAAGCCCAGUUCUUCAUGGAAAUGGCAGCUCCUUCUCCAGCUCUUUCAUCCCAUGGCACUAGCUUGCAAGCUCUAACUCAUACAGAAAUGAAAUUUGGAUUCAUGGAGAAAAUGACCAAUUUCUUCAAGAAACCAUUCUCUUGAAGAAAUUAGUCUUGAAUCAAACCUAGAUAUAAAUGAGAGUGAUUUAUGCAGCUAGAUGAGAUUCAAAGACACAUGCAGUUUUUCAAGAGGUAGAAUUCAUUUCGAAAAAACUCAUGAAUAUCAUAUAUGGUUCUCUUUUGAGCAAGAAGAAGAGAAAGCUUGCAAGCAAUCUUUCCAAAUCUUCCACCCAAAAGCGACGGCUCCAAAAGAGGAAAUUGAUAGCCUUUAAAGACAAAAAUUCCCUUAGGUCAGAAUACCCACAUGGCAGCAGAGAGAGAAAGGAGAAUAGGACAAAAAGGUUUGUUAUCCAGCUGGAAAUCCUACAGAGUAAGGAUGACUAGUCAUACGAGAAACAGAUGACUAGUCAUCAUUUUAUAAAAACAGUUUUAAUGCCAUGAUAUGCAAUGCAUACUUACCUUUGUCAAAUUGCUUGAAUCUCCAUAGGAUAGUUGUUAGUUAAGAACACCUAGAGAAGCUAUUCUUAAUCUAAGCUUGAGCUUGAUAAAUAACAAUAGAAAUCCUAUUACAAAGUUGUCAAGGGAAGCCAAAAGAAAAACCCAAAAUGCAUACAUUAACAAUCUCCCCCUUUUUGGCUUUCCUUGACAACACACUCUCUAACAACACUCAACCCAAAACCAAACCUAAGGAGAUGAUGAAAUGAAGUACCUACAAAACAACAACCAAACUCCCAGGCACAAGACAAGCAUAUUAUAUCAUAUAAAGUUGAAGCAAUAUGCAAUGUAUGCAAUAUAGGGUUGAGAGUGUUCUCCCCCUUGUUGAUAAGGAAAGAGCAAAAAGGCAAAUAUAGAGAAACAGUAAUCAAGUGAAUUAAACACAAGUCACAUAAUCAUAUUUGAACAAUAUGCACAUGACACGGUUUGAUUACAAAGCAAAACAGCAUUUGCUCAAAACAAUACAAGAAAACUCCCCCUAUCAAGUUGCACAGACUACCCAAGCAAAAAGAUCCCCAACCUGUCCAAAAAUACUCCCCCUGAGUAUCAUAUAACAUAAAGGAAUUAACCUUUGAUGUACUAAUCCAGCAAACUUUCCAUAAAUAGCCAACAAACACAAAAGUGCAUCAAGCUAAAGAGAAUAAGAAGUGGAGCACAAGUUGCAAGGAAUCAUACCUAAGGCAAUUAAAAUCAAGUGGUUGAAUUUAAUUUCAAUGUGUACACAUUACACAUAAAGAAACUCCCCUAAAAAGACAGAGUUUAAGCAACAUAUUUAUCAAAACAAGGGACAACCAAUGAAUUUUUCUUUACACACCAUAGUGCAAAAUCAAGACAAAGCACCAAGAUUUCAAAAUUUAAGGCAUUAAUCAAUGUCAAAUUUGAAGAAAGCACCAUGCAAGAUGAACCUUAAUUUUUUGCUCAAAAUUGAGGACAUGUGAGAAAGAAUACAAGAAAUAAGUCUCUAGGUUGUCCAAAAAAAAAAAACACAACAUAGCUUCCAAAAAGCACAAGGAGAAGAGAGUGGACUAUGAAAUGGACUAGUCACGCAUGUCUAAAUUUGAGGUGGCAUCAAAAGACCAACAACCUCAUAGACACAGCAAGAACAAAAGAGAGCAAAUCAAUCGAGAUAAGGCUUAGGAAGGCAACAUUGAUGUAUGAAAAUGAUAAAAACAACCAGCAAGAAUGUUGCCAAAACACAUGCAUCUCAAAGAAACUCCCCCAACAAAAUAAAUUAGCCAACAAUCCAAAACUCAUAUAGCACAACAGACUCAUAAGGAUUUCAAGAUUAUAUUAGGCUAAAUCAAUGAAUGUGGGACACACAACUUAUUAAGAUAGGGUCAUAGACCAAAGUGGCAUCAUCCAAACACGACCACACAUAACACAGUACCAGUGUUGAAACAGAAGGUAUAAAUGAGACAAGGAGAAGACAAGUGAACCUUUGUGUUUUGUGUCAUAACCAAUGGUCUUGGUUCUUAGAGAGUGAAAAUUAAUUUCACCAAAAGUCACAAGAUCCCUGUUAAGCAGAUGACUAGUCAACCACAAUUAGCAUGAGCAUAUGUUGACUAGUGAACUCAAGCAAUAUCAUAACAAGCAUCAAUUUUAGUAUCGACCCUGAAGAAGACAUGAUUUUGAUUUUAAAAACACAAACAUGAACUAGCAAAUAUAUCAAGUGAUCAACGAUGUAUUAGCUACUAUAGCCAAGUCCAAGUCUUCAAGCACAGUGAGUAAGCGAGAGAGAAGAUAACCACAUGUGCAAACAAAACAAUUGCAACUAACUCUGAUAGAUAGAAUAUGAAUUAAAUUUCAUGCUCAGAGAUAAGGCAAGAUGGACAGAGGAGGUUCAGAGCCAAAAGAAAAACACAAGAGAUGAAGAAAUAUCACUCUUGGAGAGACAAGUAUAUAAUAAGCCAUCAAGACAUACUCAAAGCAUAGACUCAACCUAUUUGAUUUUCAUCACUCAAUCUGGCCAUUUAUUAUGUUUGUUAUUUGCACAUCCCAGACUUAAGUGCUUGAGUGGCCCAAUUUUGCGGCUCUUGCUCUAGAUUCUUCAAUCAUAUCACCUUAUACCUUCCUAGAGUCGUGACUACAUUGGUCACACUUCCCCGUUUUUUGUUUUUUUUUUUUGUUUUUUGUUUUUAAUAAACAAAUUUCCUAAGAGAGUGAGAUAAGAUAGGAGAUUAUAACAAUGAUUGUCCACAAUGGAUCACAAUACUUGUCUCACCAAGAGGACAUAAAAACACCAAAAAUUUUCAUCUAAUGGCUCCAAACAAGAAGGGGGAAUUAUGCACAAAUCAGGCAAAGCAUAAAAUGAAUCAAACUUCACACCAUCAGAGAUCAGAAGAAACAGAUGUUUUUGACAUUUGCACACCAAGUAAACAAAAAUUUAUAUUUGACUAGUCAACUAAAACGAAGAUGACUAGUCAACAGUUCUGUAAUGUGCUGAAGAUAAGGAACAGACAAGCUAAUCAAUCAAUUGAGCAAAGGCCAAUGGACUACCUAAGUGUGACAUGUUUCUGAAAGUCCAAGGCCUUGGUGAGUAUAUCUGCUAGCUGUUUCACAGAGGAAACAAAUUCCAAAAAUAGAAUUUUGUCUUCCACAAGAUCUCUAAUAAAAUGGUGCCUAAUGUCUAUAUGCUUAGUCCUAGAGUGUUGAACAGGAUUUUUAGAAAUAUCUAUACCACUCAUGUUGUCACAAUAGAUUAAAAAGCAUGAUUGAGCAAGACCAUAGUCUUCCAACAUUUGUCUCAUCCAAAAGAGUUGAGUGCAGCAACUCCCAGUUAUAACAUACUCUGCUUCAGCAAUGAAUAAAGAGAUAGAUUUCUAUUUUUUGCUAUGCCAAGCAACAAGGCUGUUGCCUACAUAAAAGACCCUCCCGGAAGUGCUUUUCCUACCAUUACUACAACCUGCCCAAUCGGCAUCACUAUACUCAACAAGAUUGACACAAGUGUCAUAAGUAUACUACAACCCAAACUCAAAAGUUCUACUCACAUAUUUUAUGAUUCUUUUGAUAGCAAACAAAUGAGACUCUUUGGGAUCACUUUGGAACCUAGCACAAAACUCCUACACUAUAGGAAAUGUCAGGUCUACUUGCAGUCAAGUAUAGAAGGCUUCCUAUCUUGCUUCUAUAGAAAGUUUUCAACAGGGACAGAUGAGCUGAGAUUCUGUUCUAAUUCUAACAAGAGGCAGAUGACUAGUCAUCUUAACUUUUUGUAAAAGAUGGUAGACAGAUUUAAACCUUUGAAAGGUUUCUGAUUUUUCAAGCAAGAGUGAGACCAAAAUAAACCCAAAGAAGUCAUCUACAAUGGAUAGGAUGUAUUCCUUGCCACCAAGGGAAAAUGUUUGGACAAGAACAACAAGAUAAAUGUGAAUAAGUUCAAAAGAACAUGAAAUUUUGUUGAUCACCCAAGAUUCAAAGCACUGUGAGAGAGAUGAUUGAAAGAUAUGCAUGCAAUGUCCACAUUUAAAAAUAAUAAAACAAAAGAACAAGGUGCAAAUGCAUGACAAUGUAUCUAGACUCCAUGAAGCACACACAAAUAAGAGAAUGGUCUAGAUACAUAAAAUAAAGAAACUAGACACCAACAUGAGGAAGAACAUGGUCUUCCUUCUUGAUCCAAACUUGCUUCACUUUUGAGACUUUAUGAGGCGAAGAGAUAACCUUAGGAAUUUUGACAACUUUAUAAAGAAGAUCAUUCACUUGAGUUUGAAGUGAGUCAUCAUUUACUUUCUUGAAAUGAACAAAAGGCUUUUGCUCAAAAUUCCUAAAAUCAAAACACUUUGGUCUAAUGUGUCCUAAUGUGCCACAAUGAUGGCAUAUAGGAAUGAACCUUUUUGGUUGAAGGAAAUCAAAUUUUGCAAGUGAAGAAUGUUUAUCUCUUGUACAAACCACAGACUUUACAGUUGCAUACCCCUUAAAAGAUGACACAUGAGUCUUAAACUCACUUUCUUUGGAAACUUGAGACUCAAUCCUAAGGAUAUGACACCUAGGUCGAAUGUGUCCUUUCACACCACAAUGGUGGCAGGUAGGCACAAAUUUGGAUUGUGGAAGAGACAGCUUUCCCUUAGAAACAAUAUUCAUGGAAUCAAAACCCAAGUUGAGACCAUGAACAAAUUUUGGAGCUUCUUGAGUUGACACAUCUUUGACAAAGAUUGUCUCAAAUGAUGAAGGUGUAGAAGACUCAUUUAUAUAUCCUAAACCUCUUUUAUCACCGAACAAUUUUCCAAAAUUGAGCAUUUUAUCAAUCUUUCCAGCACCAAUGGUUAAACCUUGAAUCUUUUCUUUUUCCAACUUAAGUUCAUGUUCCAAUCUUAUAUUUUCAAAUUGUAAAGCAUCAAAAGAUUCAGAUUGUUUAACCAUGUUGUUUUCAAGUGAUUUUAUCAUCUCAAACAAGUUUUGAACCUCAAUGUCUUUCUCAAAUAACAUGCAUUGCAAAUCAGAAUUUUCAACCACAAACUUAUCAUGCACGACCACAUUUUCAUGCUCAACUAAUGACUUUUCAAACUCAAAUAAAAUCAGUCUAUGAAGAAACAAGGAUUUGUCAUUUUCAAGUACAUUCAACUUCUUAAUCAAAUCAGAAUUUUCUUUUUCAAAAAUGCUAACUUUAUGAUACAAUUCAUACAUGUCAACUUCAUUCUCAUACAAGCUAUCACUCAACUUCUUUUUGGCCAUUUUGAGAGUUUCAUUCAGUUCAUCAAGUUCCUUGACCUUUUCUUCCAUCAUGAGAUUAUGUUCUUUGAAAUUACAGGUUUCAUUGAAAAGCAUAUCAUACUUUUCACAUAGUUCCCUGUAUGACUGGUCAUCAUGUUCCUUGUAUGACUGGUCAUCUUGCAUAUCAUCUCUAGACAUAGAUUCUUUCUUAACUACAGGAACUCUAGCAAGGCUAGAGUUAUGAACAGAACCAACAAGGGCAAAAUUAUUUGCCUCUUCAUAAGAUGAAGUGAUAUAGUUAUUGGAAUCAUCACUACCAUUAUCACUCCAUUGUGCAAUAAUUGACUCUUCUUUCCCAUUAAACUUUGUCUUGUGGUUAUUUGCACAUUCCAUAUCAAUGUGACCAGUACCACCACAUAGAUAGCACUUUACAAGACCUUUCAAACUUUUGUCCUCCCUAAAGCCAUAAGAGUCCAAAACAUUCAUCUCCUUAAAAACAUUGUCUUGAGACACACAUGUAGACGAACUAGGAAGAUUCUGACAAUUCCUAGUGACUUUGGUUUUAUCUUUGACAACCCUUCUAUAAUUCUUAACAAACAAGGCAAGUUCAUCAUGAAUGCAAGGAGCAAUUUGAUCCAUUUUUAUGUUUGCACACCUAAUACCAACUAGCACCCAAAGGAUCUCUCUAUUUAUGUUAAGAGCUGGUGCUCUGAUACCAAUUGAAAUUGGUACUUAGGUGACGAGGGGUAAAUUUAAAAGAUAUUCAAUCAAGAACGCAACAACCUUCAUAUGCUCUAGACCUUGACCAAAUACUCUUAUGACUAGUCAACUGUUAGAUAUGAAUUAUACCAAACAAUAACAUACACAGAGCAUACCAAGAUGUACCUGCAGGCCUAGAGAAUUACUAGUGACAACCUAGGCACUCAGAAGGACCCAUCAAUCUAGGCAUCCCCUGUGCUAGCAACAACUAUGGUGAAAGUGUGUGAAGACAAUCAUAAUCAAGUAAACACCAAACAGCAGAUAAUAAUGACUAGUCAACUAUAAGGACACAAACCCAGAAUUUAUACAAUGACUAGUCAACCACAAUUCAUACGAUGACUAGUCAACCACCAAGAACACAAACCCAGAAAUUCAUACGAUGACUAGUCAACCACCAAGAACACAAACCCAGAAAUUCAUACGAUGACUAGUCAACCACCAAGAACAGAAACCCAGAAAAAUUACAGAGAUGCAAUCAGAAAUUGUUCACCCAGAAACCCACCAUUGGAAAAAACUGGGGGUCAUCAACCGACCAGGCAAUCCACUAAGUAGAAAAAGAUUCUUACAAAGGAACACAAGCAAGCUCAAGCAAAACCUAGAUCUAUUUAGGAAGAUGAGCAAUACCUCCUUUGUGCAAUCUUCUUCUCCAACUUAGCAAAGCUUGAAGCCCAGUUCUUCAUGGAAAUGGCAGCUCCUUCUCCAGCUCUUUCAUCCCAUGGCACUAGCUUGCAAGCUCUAACUCAUACAAAAAUGAAAUUUGGAUUCAUGGAGAAAAUGACCAAUUUCUUCAAGAAACCAUUCUCUUGAAGAAAUUAGUCUUGAAUCAAACCUAGAUAUAAAUGAGAGUGAUUUAUGCAGCUAGAUGAGAUUCAAAGACACAUGCAGUUUUUCAAGAGGUAGAAUUCAUUUCGGAAAAACUCAUGAAUAUCA
rnacentral:lncRNA from 1 species